rnacentral:rRNA from 1 species
AUACGGAGGAUCCGAGCGUUAUCCGGAUUUAUUGGGUUUAAAGGGAGCGUAGGCGGGAGAUCAAGUCAGCUGUGAAAUGUAGAUGCUCAACAUCUGCACUGCAGUUGAAACUGGUUUUCCUGAGUGCGUAAGGGGCAGGCGGAAUUCGUCGUGUAGCGGUGAAAUGCUUAGAUAUGACGAAGAACUCCGAUCGCGAAGGCGGCCUGCCGGGCCGCGACUGACGCUGAAGCUCGAAGGUGCGGGUAUCGAACAGGAUUAGAUACCCUGGUAGUCCGCACAGUAAACGAUGGAUACUCGCUGUCGGCGAUAUACGGUCGGUGGCCAAGCGAAAGCGUUAUGUAUCCCACCUGGGGAGUACGCCGGCAACGGUGAAACUCAAAGGAAUUGACGGGU